UGCUAUGCUGUAUUUACAGCCUUAGCAUCCGCACUGAAGUGGAGAAAGUGCUCUGUAGAACACUCAGUAGGUUAACACUGACAUGACUAAGCGGAGCUGGACUACUCAACUUUGGCAUCGCCUGGCGCAAGGAGAGCAAGGCAUUGCAGGCUGCCGGCUUUUGUCGCUGUAUGAGUCUCCGAGGCAAGCCUAAAGAUACCGCCCAGCCCCGCUUGCUUCCAACGCUGGGCCCGCGAGCAGCACGGCCCCGCCUUCCCCCUCACGACGCCCGGGGCGGGCAGUAACGGCGGGGCGGGCCCGGCCGCCAUGGAAGUGCGCGGUCAGCUGCUGCCCCAGGCCGCGGCUCACGGGCCUGCCUGCGUGCUGUCGGAGGACGACAGCCGUGCUGCCUCGCUGGCGAGGAGAGCAGAAGACGGAGAUCCCUGGGCGUGUUUUCUAAGAGGACAGCAGUACUAUGAAGAGGGGAGGUAUGAAGAAGCGUUAGUACAAUUUGAAAAAUGCAAGGAUGCAGAUUUUCAAGCCCUGUAUCAACUUGGUGUAAUGCAUUACGAUGGACUAGGCACUAAUAAAGACCCUGAAAAGGGAGUGGAAUACAUGAAGAAAGUACUCAACUCUGAUUCCCCAGAAGCAAGACACUUAAAGUUUGCAGCUGCAUAUAAUCUCGGCAGAGCGCAUUAUGAAGGAUAUGGUGUUAAGCAUUCAACUGAAGAGGCUGAAAGGUUGUGGCUUAUUGCUGCGGACCACGGGAAUCCAAAAGCCAGCGUAAAGGCCCAGAGCACUUUAGGAAUGCUUUAUUCCAUGCCAGAUCGAAAAGAUCUGAAGAAGGCCUUUUUCUGGCAUUCAGAAGCAUGUGGCAAUGGAAGCCUGGAAUCACAGGGUGCACUUGGCGUUAUGUAUCUCCAUGGACAAGGCAUACGUCGGAACAUUAGCGCGGCUUUGGAGUGCUUGAAAGCAGCAGCAAAAAGAGGAAACAUCUAUGCUCAAGGCCAUCUUGUGGAAUAUUAUUACAAUAGAAAAUUCUUCUCAACCGCUGCUGCCAUAGCCAAAAGGACUACAGAAAAUGACAACAUUGAGAUGCUAGCAACGAUGACUGAUUGUCUCCCUGCAUAUGUAGCCAAAGGGGUUGCUAUGGCUGCUUUCUACUUGGCUAGGUGCCUCCAUCUCGGCCGAGGUGUACAGCAAGAUGAAGCUGCUGCUAAAAAAUACUAUUCUAAGGCAUGCCUUCUGGAUCCUGAUGUUGCUUCUGAUCUUGAACUGAAAGCUAAUCUUGGAAGAAUUUAGUGUUUCCUUCAGUUGUGGCAGAACUUCACAGGUAAGAGGAGCAUAUAGGGUCCUUCUGCUCAUCUUUCAUGCAACUGCUGUUCCGAAAGCCAGCCCAAGAAUUCUCCUUCCCUCAAAUUCUCCAAGCAAUGCAGUGGGUGUCUGCUUCUUCUCAGCUAUAUCAACAAGUUGGUGUGCACCUUACAAAGUCGGGCAACUUGGAUGGAGUGGAGACUCUCUCGUAGACAAAAGCAAUAUUGUAUUUUAAACAGCUUUUUGUUACUUAAAAUGAUUCUAGUGAUGAAGUGAGUAUGUUUUUUUCUGACUUCUUUCAAGAACAAAAAAGUUACUUGCAGAGAUUAGUAUCAUACUACCGUUAUGUGUGCAAAACCACACACCCUGGGCUUUAAUUCUGAGCGGAACCUAGCAAUUAGGAUGAUUCUAAAAUUAAAAGCCCACUUUUCUGGUUACUCACAUAGAGUAGAUGCUUGUUGGCCUUUCUUUCUUGCAGCGCGUUGAACACUUUCACUACACCGUGGCGGGCGUUUUGCUGUCCAACAAGGCUCUGCAGAGUAUCUGCAAUGAACAUGACUUCAGCAUACAGCUUCAGUCCUCCAACCAACAUUACUACCCAAAAAUACAUAAGGACUGGAAAAUGAAACACUGCCCUUCACAGUAGAUACUUAUAAGAUGCGUAGACACCAUCCGCCAACCUUUUAAAAACACACAGAAAUAAACCUUCAGCCACAAAGAAUUCCUACAACAGUUCAGAUUGCCUCUCCACUUUCCCAGAAUUCUCUCAUCAGCUUGCUUUUAAGUCAAUGAUUUACAUUUCGAAUUAAAUUACAGUAGAGAAUAAA